ensembl:lncRNA
CGGGACUCGCUCUGCACUUGUUGGGGCCUGGGGCGGGUGCGGGACCCCCCCUUCCCCUCUCUUCCCACACGUCUGGCUGCGGGCAUAAACCACGAAGAGGCCCCCCCCUCUCCCAGCCCCUCACCGCCAAUAGAUCAGCAAUAACGGAAUCAAAGCGAUGAGCGAAGGUGCCAGUCAGAAGGGUCGGACGGGGCCCUACCCGUUAAUUAGCAGACAGCUAAUUAGAGCAGCACUCGGAGCGCUAAUCAAUGGCCGGCUGGGGGCGGCGAGUGGCAGGGACGGGGUAUCAUGUGCCGGGCGGGGGGCGGCACGGACCUGCCCCGGGAUUCGGCCGCGGCGAGCCGAGGAAGCGGCUGCAGCGGUGCCCCGAGGGCCGGCCCCGGCCCCUCAACGGCGGGUGGGCAGCCCCUGCUCUGCCCGGCCGGGGAGGGCGCCGAGGAGCGGGGCGCUGCCCCUCUGCCUACAAAACCGCUCGGAGCCGCCCGGGCCCCUCGGCCGUCCCAGCUCGGGGGGGUCUCCCCGCCCCCGUUUUGGAGCGGCGGCAUGUUGGCUCGAUGACAGACUCGCCGUCUAAUCCAGGCGAAAAUAUAUUGUACCUCGGAGUAAUUGGGGCCGUUGCGAGAGAACCCUACAGAACGUUUCCGAGCGGGAACAAAACGGCGCGGGCAGCGCGGAGCGGCGCGGAACCGGAGCGGAACCGGCAUGGGUGGACGGCGGGGCCGCGGCCAGCUGGUCCCGGGCAGCCCCGACGAGCCCGGGCGGCGGCUCUGCGCUGCCCUCCCUUCUUUUCCUCCUUAAGGAAAAAAAAAAAAAAGGCUCAGAAAGUUAAAACUUUCUGCUCCAAAAAAAUUAAUCUCAACGUUUAGUGCUACUGUUUUUCUUUUGUCAAAUGUUUCCCCCGAUGCAGGCUGAGGACAUGAUCAGAAAUGCUCAGGGAGCAGAAAGCACAUUGAUUUCAGCUUGUUCUGUCCGCAGACAGGCCCUGACAAGGUUGUUAGAACAGUUGGGGAGGUCUCUACAAUCACUUAAUUACCAAAGCUGUCACUCAGGCGGGACGGGACUGGCCGCUCCUGUGGCUGCGAGGAGCAUUCCACUACUGGAUUUCCUCCUUGAUGGAUCUGUGCUGAUGGCAUUGCAAAAUAAUUAUAGUGAAUUUUCUGAUGUGUGAUUUUAUUCCAAGUUCAUGCUUCAGAAAGGUAAUCGGAAGGAUGAGAAGGGUCAGUGCCAUUUCAGAUUACCUGAAGUCCAAGCGAAAGGGUAAAAAAAAAAAAAAUGCCGAACCCAUAAAGCAGAGAGGAGCACUGAGAGGAAGGGGUGCACAGAUGCGUUUGAGAAUUGCUGAAGGGUAUUGCAAGCAAUUCGUCAAACUGUGCAAGUGAUUUCCUUCCGAGCCAACAAAUGGCAGAUUGAUUUUGUCCAACAUAGGUUUAGCCACAUUUAAAAUGAUCCAGCGGUUAUUACUGCGAUUGGCUUCGCAACUGACAGGCAGUCGUAGGCAGAAGUAGAAUAGAUCCUGUUUACAGGAGACGUGUUCUUAACUGCUGUCAAAUGCAGUUAAGUAAAUAUCAUUAGGAAGAAGUGCUGUUAAGAGAGAAAAAAAUGCCAAUCCGAUAAAUAUGCUUGUUCUCCUCUCAGAUCCCCGCUCUCCUCGGGAAGGCUCUGCGGGGAGGAGCCGGCGCUUCCCCGGCCGGGGGGCGCUUCCCUCGGAGCUUUGGCAACGGGGGAGGGAACUGCGGGGGGGCGAGCAGUCGGGGUCGGGGCUCCUCGG